GACGAACGCUGGCGGCGCGCCUAACACAUGCAAGUCGAACGAGCGAGAGAGAGCUUGCUUUCUCGAGCGAGUGGCGAACGGGUGAGUAACGCGUGAGGAACCUGCCUCAAAGAGGGGGACAACAGCUGGAAACGACUGCUAAUACCGCAUAAGCCCACGGGUCGGCAUCGACCAGAGGGAAAAGGAGCAAUCCGCUUUGAGAUGGCCUCGCGUCCGAUUAGCUAGUUGGUGAGGUAAUGGCCCACCAAGGCGACGAUCGGUAGCCGGACUGAGAGGUUGAACGGCCACAUUGGGACUGAGACACGGCCCAGACUCCUACGGGAGGCAGCAGUGGGGAAUAUUGCACAAUGGGGGAAACCCUGAUGCAGCGACGCCGCGUGGAGGAAGAAGGUCUUCGGAUUGUAAACUCCUGUUGUUGGGGAAGAUAAUGACGGUACCCAACAAGGAAGUGACGGCUAACUACGUG
rnacentral:rRNA from 1 species